GACGGAGGAUGCAAGCGUUAUCCGGAAUUAUUGGGCGUCAAGCGUCCGCAGGUGGACAUCCAAGUCUGCUGUCAAAGUGCAGAGCUUAACUCUGUAAAGGCGGUGGAAACUGUAGGUCUUGAGUAUGGUAGGGGUAGAGGGAAUUCCCGGUGUAGCGGUGAAAUGCGUAGAGAUUGGGAAGAACACCGGUGGCGAAAGCGCUCUACUGGGCCUGCACUGACACUGAGGGACGAAAGCUAGGGGAGCGAAAGGG
rnacentral:rRNA from 1 species